GACGAACCGAGCGAACGUUGUUCGGAAUCACUGGGCUUAAAGGGCGCGUAGGCGGGCUGUCAAGUCUGGGGUGAAAUCCCGCGGCUCAACCGAGGAAUUGCGCCCUAAACUACUGUGCUUGAGGAACCUAGAGGUGAGCGGAACUGAUGGUGGAGCGGUGAAAUGCGUUGAUAUCAUCAGGAACACCGGAGGCGAAGGCGGCUCACUGGGGGUUAUCUGACGCUGAGGAACGAAAGCCAGGGGAGCGAACGGG
rnacentral:rRNA from 1 species